rnacentral:rRNA from 1 species
AUUGAACGCUGGCGGCAUGCCUUACACAUGCAAGUCGAACGGCAGCACGGGGCAACCUGGUGGCGAGUGGCGAAACGGGUGAGUAAUGCAUCGGAACGUGCCAUUGAGUGGGGGAUAACGUAGCGAAAGUUGCGCUAAUACCGCAUAUUCUGUGAGCAGGAAAGCAGGGGACCGCAAGGCCUUGCGCUCUUUGAGCGGCCGAUGUCAGAUUAGCUAGUUGGUGAGGUAACGGCUUACCAAGGCGACGAUCUGUAGCGGGUCUGAGAGGAUGAUCCGCCACACUGGAACUGAGACACGGUCCAGACUCCUACGGGAGGCAGCAGUGGGAAUUUUGGACAAUGGGCGCAAGCCUGAUCCAGCCAUGCCGCGUG